CCCACACUGCUCUCAAGGCCUGCCACCCAGCAGGGUUUCCAUAAUUUUUUUUCCCUUACACUAUCUGGGGGAGGGGGGGACGGGGGAGGCGAUAAGUGGGUGACUUUAUGUUCUAGGCCUGUGGCCCCCGGGACGGGCUAAAAGGAAAGACUGGGGGAUCCUGCCUGCCUGAGUGCUGCCUGUUUGGGACUGAACUUUCCAGUGAUCAGAUGGAGCGAGUAGGUCCACUUCUGAAAGCUGUCAGGGUCAUUCAAAGGACUAGGGAGGAAAUGGCGUCAAGGCCCAUUGCAGACUUGAUGAAACCAUCGGACGGUGGCAAAUGGUAUUGUUAGUAGACCGUGUGUCUCUGGUGGUUGUGGGCAAAGCGCUGGAAUUAGAUCCCGGAUUUGGACCCCAGCUUCCUGAUAUGCUGGCUGGGAGACUUUGGGCAAACCUCAAGCCUGAAAAGGACUGCUGGUGCUGGGUUGCAAGCGGCCGGGUGCAAGGACAAGAGAGAGGCACGGAGGAACUAAGGGUGGCCCCCAGCUGGCAGCCAGCAGGGAAGCAGGGACCUCAGUCCUACAACACGAAAGAACUGGAUUCUGCCCACACGGUGAAUGAGCUUGGAAGUAGUUCCUUCCUAGGGCCUCCUGUUUCACCAGGACAACCAGACCCACCUGAUGAGACUUCUUCGAUGCACUGGGCCAAUUUGGAAAAGAAUCAGAAUGCCUUCUGUUGAGCUGAUCAAAGGAACACCAAGGAUUGCCAACAGUCACCAGAAGCCGGAUGGGACAAGGAAAGAUUCUCUCCUUGAGACUUCAGAGGGAGCAUGGCCCUGCCGACACCUUCAUUUCUGAUUUCUAUCCUCUUGAACUUUUCAGGUGUACAAAAUAGUGAUUCAACAAUUGUGUACAUUACUCAGGUGGCCAUCACGCUUUACCCCAGUAUGGAAACCGCAGCCCUUGAUCAGCUGAGUGCCGCUAGGAACCAUCGCCAAGAGGCUGCAGGAAAGCCCAGGGCUUGGGGGAGUCUAGUCGCAGCUGGUGGUAAAGAAAUGUCUUCCAAGGGGCAAAGAAUAAUAUGGGCGAGUUUGGGAAUAAUGGAUAACAAUGGAACGGAGGGUUCUGUGAAUCAUGGGGUUUGAGGAAGGAGGGAUGGGGUAUAAACAGGAGAAAGGAACCACAGAGAAUUAUGGGGAUCAGGAAAGGAGAAAACAGAACUGACCAGGGGAAGCCCUAGCUUUUUCAGAGCAGCACUAAAGCCAGCUCUGGAUGGAUUUAUUUAUCUGGCCAGUGUCAACCAGGUAACAGCUCUGCGUUUAUCUUUGGAAGAUGGUGGAAACUCAGACCGCUCCAUAGUUAUCUGCUCCCUGGAAGGGGGAGGGUUCCAGGACCAGGGACUUGGAUUUGGGGCUUUUUCACCUUGGAGUUGUUUGAGAGCAGGGCAAAGUGAACAGCUACAAAUGAAUGAGUGAGAAAGAAGAUUGUUGUUUGGACAAUGAAUGCCCUGAGCAAGUGGGAGGGAUGUGAUGACAAACGGGGAUAUAAGCCUAGAAAGAAGGAAGGACGACCCUUCCAUCAAAACACGGGAGAGGAAGAGCUGUCGGUUAGCGUAGGUCACGUCAUCUUGACAACCCCCGAACCUCAGCGCUUGGAACAAUACGGGUCUCCUCCUUUGUGCUACAUGUUCAUCAUCGGUUGGCAGGGGAUCUACUCUUGUUGAAGGAACAUAGGCUGAUGAUCCACCACCAUCUUGGAUGCUGCUCUUCCCUGUACCACAGACAGAACCCUGGGGGGGUCUCUUGUUGGAGGUUCAGGCUUGGAUUAGAGAUGUGCCGCUUUCCUCACAGCUCAUUGACCAGGGGGUCACGUCAGCUGAUGAAACAGCUGGAUGCAGAAGCCUCUGCGGGACCUAGUGGUCUUCCCAGCCUGAUUCUUACCAAGUGUGAGACCAGCGGAUUGUGAACAGUUUGCAUACUUUACCUCCAUUUCUUUCUUUCUUUCAAGUAGGCUUCGCACCGUCCAGCAUGGAGCCCAACGCAGGGCUUGAACUCAUGAGCCUGAGAUCAUUAUCUCCGCUGAGAUCAAGAGUCCGAUGCUUAACUGACUGAGCCACCCAGGGGCCCCUACUUUGCCUCUAUUUCUCAUCAGAGCUUCUGUUACAUACCACUUUGUCUGUCUCCUCUCCAAUGCCUCUCCAGACCACCAUGCUCCCGUAGCCCCCACGUUUCUUUCUGUGAUAGCAUUUUGAUAUAAAAGGACACUUGUAGGGGCACCUAGGUGGCUCAGUAGGUUAAGUGUCCGAUUUCGACUCAAGUCAUAAUCUCAUGGUUUGUGAGUUUGAGCCCCGCGUCAGACUCAGUGCUGACAGCUCAGAGCCUGGAGCCUGUUUCAGAUUGUUGUCCCCUCUCUCUCUGCUCCUCCCCCGUUUGUGCACUUUCUCUCUCAAAAAUAAACAUUAAAAAAAUAAAAGGACAUUUGUCACACCUGAAGUACCCGAACAGAGAUAGGUCCCGGCUUCAGGGAGGCUGUGCAAUGUAGAGAACCUGGCCAACAACCCCAGGGGUCCUUCCUGCACAGCUGUCCGUGACCGGAGUUCUGAAGGACAGCCGGGAAAAGGACAGAGAGCCUGGGGCUUGUAAAGGACAUACAGACCUACAAUAAAAAAUGCCGGCAACCUUGGCUGUACUCAAUGAUGUGAUUGUACAGUCUCAUAAGACUGCCUCUCAGAAUGGCUCCUUAGAACAUUCUUUGCUUACAAAAUGCAAGAGACUCAAUUACUCCUCCAACCGCUAGCAAUCCGGGACAGACUUCAGGAGCUGGGGACUCUGGAAUUAGUGGUUGCUUACGAAGAGGAAGUAAGCAGCUACUGAAAGUAAUCUAGGACUAAAGUUUGCAAACCUCUAAGAAUCGUCUGAUUACUUCACAAUUCGUAGGACGGUAAACAACGAACACCAUGUAGCUGCUGAAGAAUGCGCGUCUAGAUGUUUAGACAGGCUAAGAUUUUCCAACCAGAGCUUUAGGUGGAGAAAACACACAAAGGACACUUGCAGGUUAUACAGUGUACUACCACCUAUGUAAAAACAAAAACUCAAAAAACCCCCAAGGGUGGGGAGAAUUAUGUAUAUGCUCAAACAUGCAUAAUUUGGAAAGGUACACAAGACGCUGGUAAACCGUUGCCUUCCUCGGGAAGAUGGGGAGAAUGGGUCCACUUUUUUUAUCGUUUGAGUUUUGUGCCAUUGUACUACUCGUUUUAAAAUUAACCAAACGCAACGUGGCACCCGGAGACAGGAAAAGAGGCGUUACUGGAAACUGGUAAAAUCAGAAAAGUCUGGAAUCUAGUUAGUACCAAUAUUAGUUUCCUAGUUUUCGCAGAUUGUUUUGGUGGUUGUUGCUCCUCGGUUCAUAAUUCCAUCCUACCCACUUCUAUUAAAACCUAUAUAGAAAAUC